ACACACAAAUCACAUAUAUAUAUCCAGACCAUCACAGAUCACAUUUAUAUCACAAAUAACAUUUAGAGCUCACAUACGACAUAUAUAUCACAAAUCCGAACAAAUCCAUAACAAUCCAUCCUUCAAAUGUCCAUAACCAUCACAAAUCAUUCACAAGUACACCAUAACUCCCUAUUCUAACCAUCAAAGAUUGUUUCUCAUCCAAAUUAUCAUCAUGAGCGAGCUAUAAACAAUUUAACUUAAGACUAGAACAUAAGAUUA
rnacentral:lncRNA from 1 species